rnacentral:rRNA from 1 species
CGGCGGACGGGUGAGUAACGCGUAGGUAACCUGCCCCAUACAGAGGGAUAGCCACUGGAAACGGUGAUUAAUACCUCAUAACACUUUUUUACUGCAUAGUAGAGAGGUCAAAGAUUUAUCGGUAUGGGAUGGACCUGCGUCUGAUUAGCUAGUUGGUGGGGUAACGGCCUACCAAGGCGACGAUCAGUAGCCGACCUGAGAGGGUGACCGGCCACAUUGGGACUGAGACACGGCCCAA